rnacentral:rRNA from 1 species
ACAAGCGGUGGAGCAUGUGGUUUAAUUCGACGCAACGCGAAGAACCUUACCAGGGCUUGACAUCCCCUGACCGCGUAUGAAAGUACGUUUUCACCUUCGGGAGACAGGGGGACAGGUGGUGCAUGGUUGUCGUCAGCUCGUGUCGUGAGAUGUUGGGUUAAGUCCCGCAACGAGCGCAACCCCUGCCCUUAGUUGCCAUCGGGUCACGCCGGGAACUCUAAGGGGACCGCCCCGGACAACGGGGAGGAAGGUGGGGAUGACGUCAAGUCAGCAUGGCCCUUAUGUCCAGGGCUACACACGUGCUACAAUGGUUGGUACAAAGGGUUGCCAAGCCGUGAGGCGGAGCCAAUCUCAAAAAGCCAACCUCAGUUCGGAUUGCAGUCUGCAACUCGACUGCAUGAAGUUGGAAUCGCUAGUAAUCGCUGAUCAGCAGGCAGCGGUGAAUACGUUCCCGGGCCUU